UCACUCAUGCGUUCAACAGGUGCACC
rnacentral:piRNA from 1 species